UACAGAGGGGGCAAGCGUUGUUCGGAAUUACUGGGCGUAAAGGGCGCGUAGGCGGCCUUCUAAGUCGAACGUGAAAUCCCCGGGCUCAACCCGGGAACUGCGUCCGAUACUGGAAGGCUUGAAUCCGGGAGAGGGAUGCGGAAUUCCAGGUGUAGCGGUGAAAUGCGUAGAUAUCUGGAGGAACACCGGUGGCGAAGGCAGCUCGCUGGGACGACACUGACGCUGAGACGCGAAAGCGUGGGGAGCGAACAGG
rnacentral:rRNA from 1 species